AUGUCGAAGACUUCCCCCCUCCACAGGGUUAUCGACGCCGGGCAGUGGGACGCCGAGCGCCUCCUUGGCCGCCUCAUAAUCGUCGUCCACGCCGCCUUCCUUGACGCGGGCUUCGUUCCCGCCACCGCCGCGGCCAAGGACCCGGAGCAGGGCCGGAUCUCGAAGCAGCAGGGAGCGACAGCUUCGACGCUCUCCCUCCGGUACGCCGUGCCGCAGCUCCGGCAGGACACGGGCGCCGCUGCGCUAAGGAUGUUCGCGCACGGGCGGCACGUCGUCUUCUACGUGCGCGGAGACCGGCGGCUGGGCACGUACUGGGUGUGCGUGGACGCGCUCGCCGCCGCACGGUACCUGUCGUACGGCCUUGACGACACAGCGCGCGCGCUGAGGAGGGACGCCCAGGCGGCGGCGCUCUGGGGCGCCCUCGCCGACGGUCUAUGCCGGCGCGUCUUGGCCGCGAUGUGCCGCGAGAACGGCGUGGCGCUGGAGCCCACCUUCAUGUCGCUCCCCGGCGACGCCAAGGCGGCGAUCCUGGCGAGGAUCUCCUGA
rnacentral:rRNA from 1 species